UCGGGAAUUUUGGGCAAUGGGCGAAAGCCUGACCCAGCAACGCCGCGUGAAGGAUGAAGUAUUUCGGUAUGUAAACUUCGAAAGAAUAGGAAGAAGAAAUGACGGUACUAUUUAUAAGGUCCGGCUAACUACGUGCCAGCAGCCGCGGUAAUACGUAGGGACCAAGCGUUGUUCGGAUUUACUGGGCGUAAAGGGCGCGUAGGCGGCUUGUCAAGUCACUUGUGAAAUCUCCGAGCUUAACUCGGAACGGUCAAGUGAAACUGUCAGGCUAGAGUGCAGAAGGGGCAAUCGGAAUUCUUGGUGUAGCGGUGAAAUGCGUAGAUAUCAAGAGGAACACCUGAGGUGAAGACGGGUUGCUGGGCUGACACUGACGCUGAGGCGCGAAAGCUAGGGGAGCAAACG
rnacentral:rRNA from 1 species